AAUGCGUCAAUAGACCAUUGCGACAGUGGCACAAAAUUAGCCAUACUAUAGAGGGACUUGGCAACGCAUAGCAGACAGCUUGUGUGAAUCAAAUCAAAACAAAAAUAAGAGUUAGUCUACUUUGCCAAACAAAACAAAACCCCCUUCUUCAUGAUUAUCAAGUGGAUUUCGCUAUUAAAGUAUUCAGACAACGUGUAAAGUUCUGCUAGUAUGGAGCUCUAAAUGCUUCUCUCAAUCAUCAAAGAUUUUACGAGAUUACACAUGUGAAAAGAAGUCAAA